rnacentral:rRNA from 1 species
ACUCCUACGGGAGGCAGCAGUGGGGAAUCUUGCGCAAUGGGCGAAAGCCUGACGCAGCCAUGCCGCGUGAAUGAUGAAGGUCUUAGGAUUGUAAAAUUCUUUCACCGGGGACGAUAAUGACGGUACCCGGAGAAGAAGCCCCGGCUAACUUCGUGCCAUGCAUCCGCGGUAAUACGAAGGGGCUAGCGUUGCUCGGAAUUACUGGGCGUAAAGGGAGCGUAGGCGGACAUUUAAGUCAGGGGUGAAAUCCCGGGGCUCAACCUCGGAAUUGCCUUUGAUACUGGAUGUCUUGAGUGUGAGAGAGGUAUGUGGAACUCCGAGUGUAUAGGUGAAAUUCGUAGAUAUUCGGAAGAACACCAGUGGCGAAGGCGACAUACUGGCUCAUUACUGACGCUGAGGCUCGAAAGCGUGGGGAGCAAACAGGAUUAGAUACCCUGGUAGGAUAGCG